GAGUGACGUCAAACGUCACCAAUUAUGUCAAAGUCAAAUGUUGCAAUGUUGGUGAUUUAAUUAAACUGAUUUUUGUGUUUAUUUUUAUUGCAACUUCUAAUAAAUUAUAAAAUAUCGAUUCACAUAAUAAUAAUCAACAUGAUUUUAUUUUCAUUGUGGAAGAAGGAAAUAUAUUGCAAUCAUGUAGAUGGAAUCCCGCAUUCUUUAAGAAAAAAAAGCAAUUUCCAGAAGGAAACUACCAAUAAUAAAAUAAAGUAGAUAAUGCAAGAAAGAACAAAGCCAUUAUUUAACAUAGCUCAACAACUUCACAUAGAAAAAGAUGAGGAAAGGGCACAACAGAA